GGAAUAUGGAACUAGUGGGAUUAUAUGCUUGUGGGGUUAAUGGAUUUUGGGAGAUGUUGCGAUUUACCUGUUAAUUAUUGGAGAUGGAAGAUCGUAUGAUUUCCAUGUAAUAUUGCAUGGUGGUGGUUUUUGGGUUAAGUUGCUAAUUAUGAGUGAUUAGGAGGUUGAUUUUAUGGUUGUCAUGUUGUAUUAUCUUGCAUGUUGGUUGGAGGAGAGAAAUAAUGAUGUUUGGAGGCCUUAAUUGAUGUAUGAGUUUGAUUAAUUGUGUCUCUGCUAGUCUGGGUCCUCUGGGAGUGAUAGUAAUGAUGGCCCCAGAUGGUAAAGUUUGGUCUCUAAUUAUAAUAUAUUUUCUUUCUUAUUAUUUAGUUGUCCAUUAUGCGUACGGAUUGUUUAGAGUCCUAAAUUGGCUUGUGGGUUGGACUAAUAAUUUGUUCCUUGCCUUAUUUUUAUUUUCUGAUAUUUGGAAUGUACAUUUUAGUCUUUAAUGGCAACAAUCUUUUUUCCUAGUUAUGCAAUGAUUUGCAAUCUCUCUCUCAGUUUCAGGAUGUGCUUCACUCAUGGUAAUAUUAUUGAAAAUGAAUUGACCAAUUUGAUUGUAUUCUUAAGCAUGCCUCUUUGUCAUACCUAAUCAUAACUCCAUAAGCACGUCUAAAAUUUCAUGAGCUUACCAUUUUGAGUAAUCUUUUUCCUUUCUAUUUGCUCUUAAAUGCCAUUGAUAUCAUCCCAUCAGAGAUAAGCAACCAAACGGAAUUUUGUUGAGUAAUAGAUUCACGCACUCAUGUUUCCCUUAUUUUAU
rnacentral:misc_RNA from 1 species